CGAGGCGCAUGCGAAGUAAGCAGUCACGCCCCUGGUUGUGGUAAUGGAACGCCCGACUCCAAUGCCACAACCAUUACCUAACAAGCUUAAGGCCAAGAACCUAAGAUUACACCUGCAUGCACCCGGGCCAGAACUGACGCGGUGGUCCAGCACAGCAGAACCUGGCUAGCGUCGCGGCUGUAGAGUUGACCAUAGUCACUGGAAGUGCGGCCCUGGAUUCGGUCAACGUGAGAAUAUCGGCGCAGUGAUCCUGCGGAGCUCCAGAAGGAAUUGGCAGGAGGGUUCCUGCCGCAGUUCCUCGCAUCGGGAACUACGAGAAGUUAGCGAGCGCGGAGGGAUUCUUCGUCGGUGAUUCGCUGACCUGGGCCGACAUCGCGUUCUUCAACAUGAUUGGCUGGGUGACGCCCAUGAACCCCGCCGUGCUGGACGGGUUUCCCAACCUCGCCAAGGUCAUGGACAUGGUCAAGGUCAUGCAGUCCCAACAGUGGGUCGCUAGGUGGCUCAAGGAGCGCCCGCAGACCAAAAUGUAGCCAAAGUGCCGUUGUCAUUGCAACAGCUAAAAUAGUCGUUUGGCAGGAUCUAACACCGUACUAAUGUUUCCUUACCAAGGUACAGAGUAAAGCAGUUUUUAAUUCCAUUUUUGUGUAUAUUACAUGUAGAACCAUAGACUAACCUAACGGACAAAUGAAGGCCUGCCUAAUAAUACCAGGUUGAAUUUCUUACCAAUCUACCACCAGUGUAACAUAACCAUUAAAACGGCUUACCAUGUGUGGCUUACAGCAAAUGCCACGCGCUUUCCUACAGUGAUUCCAAUAAAUCUACCUAAACCUC